AAAUUAAUAAUUAUAUGUCCGUGUUGAACAUGUACGCAAAUACUAAUGCUAAAUAAAAAUCAUAAAAAAUACAAAAUAAUCCGAAGCAAACACAAGUAAAAAGUACCAGAGAAAAAGCAAAAAACACAAACUCAUCCACCACAGCAAAAUACAAAAUUAAAUAAGCAUGAAAAUAUAUAUAGGAGCACAUUGGAGGGGAGAAUUUCAUUACUUCAGCCAUCGUCGGUUCAGUAUUACAAGAAAAAUAUGUGAAUGUUUUCAAAUCUCACCUUUAGCAUUCAAAAACAACUAUCUGUGCAGAGUAUCUAUCUGUAUAAAAUAUUUAUGAACAUUGGCGUCCGCAUACUAGCACAAUUGAACGCACGCCCGGUGAACUAUAUUAGAAGCCUGCCAACACCAUCACAAAUAUUUUAUCUAAGAAUACAACUAUCAUCACAGCCACAAAGAGCACAGCAUAGCAAAAUAUCAUUGUUAGAAAUGAAUUAAUUAGUGCAAAUAUAGUACUGGUUAGUCAGGGCUAAAAACAAAAUUUAUUUAAACCUUUGAAUUAACUCGCACAUAAUUGAAGUUAUGAAUAUGGUAUAUACUUUACAUACAUUAUGUACAAAUAAGUGUGGUGUUUGUGAUUCAAUCUCCGAUCUGUUUUAAAAGCUCACUUUUGUAAAUGUAAUAUGUAUUUCAGUUCUGCUGGAAGUAUCGGCAUCGUUUGUCUAUUUGAACUGUUAGUUUAAACGGAUCCCUCAAAAAUAUAAUGUAAAAGGUGUAAAGUAUUGGUAUCGGUUGUCUAUUUAAAUUGUUAGUUUGUACGGAUCCCUAAAAGGAAUAAUGUAAAUGUGUGCGAAAAUGCCAAAGUACAGUCGAAGUCUAACAUCCAGAAGACCACGUAAAUGUCUGACGAGAUCUUAAAAAAUAAUUAUUCACGCAAAAACAAUUCUCGCGUCUACAAAGAUUGAAUAUAUGGAAUUGAAUUAUGACUGCCGCAAAGAAAAACGCAAUUAUCACACGUCGCUAUAUAGAAUGAAACUCUAUAAACAUGAAAGUGAGGUUUGCACCAAACAUGGGUGAUAUAACUUAAAAAAUAAAAUUGCAUGUUUUUGUUUUGAAAUAAUGCUGUUUUGUCGUUGAGGCAAUAAAUCCUAUUACAUCUACAUACAAUAAAAACAAUAAUAUACGUAAUCCUACUUGGUCAUUUCGUAUGUAUGUUACGAGAUGUGUUUUAAUGAGCUUGGCGAUUUUCGUUUGUUAAAAGAAAUGGGUCGAAGUUCGAGAUUUCUUAGCCAAAAACAAUACUGUAACGAUGCCCCAGCCUUUUUUCCUAUUUCCAAAAAUAAAGAGAGCCGUCGUUCUACAAGCAUAGAUGACGUUAAAAGCGCGUCUCUUUAAGAGCUCGUACACUUAAGCUCUAAUCCCGAGUCAUCGUCGAGACUGCUAUAAAACAAAUGGCAUAGAAAUACGCCGCUAAGGUAGUUCCUCCUAUCGUGUAAAUCGAAGCUGAUGUUCAUUGAGUUCAAUAUUUUUUUUAGCUUAAUGCAACGUGAUGCGCCUGGCUGAGUAGCAUUUGCAAAUAUGGAUGAUUGCUCUAAGGCACUACCAAAGUUUAUUGUUUUCGAUGUCAUAAUGUCCAUCGCCAGGCUUGAAAUCGGUCUCGGAGUCUAAAUUAACAUUGUUCUCCGGCUUAAAAUUGGGAUCGGCAAUGCCAUCAUCGUCUCCUUCAAACCCGUCCUCACUGUCCUUAAAAUUCAUCAAUUCCUCAAAGAUGUGCUCAUUUGUGAAGCUGCGGAUUCCAUUCUUUUAAAGUAAAGCAGAAACCAAGCAUAAGCAGUUUUAAUUACCCUUGUAACUCAAUGUUACAGGAAUGACACAAACAUUAAUUUUGUAUCUGUAUCAUAAUAUGGACACUUUUUUUUCUUAGUCAAUGCAAAAUAUACACAAAAAUCAACUUAACUGUACCUCAAA